rnacentral:lncRNA from 1 species
CUUUAGAAAUAUAAAUCCUUCUAUCAUAAAGACACAUGCACUUGUAUGUUCAUCCCAGCACUAUUCUCAGUAACAAAGGCAGGGAAUCAAGCUAGAUGCCCAUCAACAGUGGACUGCAUGAAGAAAAUGUGGUCCAUAUAUGCCAUGGAAUACUGUGCAGCCAUAAACAGAACGCGAUCAUGCCCUUUGCAGCAACAUGGAUGGAGCUGGAGGCCAUGAUCCUAAGUGAAUUAAUGCAGGAACAGAAAACCAAAUACCACAUGUUCUUACUUAGAAGUGAGAACUAAACCCUGUGCACAUAUGGACACAAAGAAAGGAACAGUAGGUGCUGGAGUCUACUUGAGGGUGGACGGUGGAAGGAGGGUGAGGAUCAAAACGCUACCUACUGCGUCUCAUGCUGGUUCCUGGGUGAUGAAAUAAUCUGUACACCAAACUCCCACGAUGCACAAUUUACUCAGGGAACGAGUCUGCACAGGUACCCCCUGAACCGAAAACAAAAGUUGGAAAGAAAAACUAAUAAUAAUAAUAAAGAUAAAAUUGACUGUGGCAAUGAUUGUGUAACUUUGUGACUAUACUAAACACCAUUGGAUCGUACGGUUUACCUGGGUGAAUUCUAUGGCAUAUGAAUUACGGCUCAAUAAAAUUAUUUUUAAAAUAUUUUGAAUUAAAAAAUGCAACAAAACUCCCUACAGUAAGGUGCUAGUAGGUGCUAAUGCCUCACAUCAAAUAAACCUUUUGUCCUCGACCUGGUCCCUUGGCACCGCUUAGCUCUGUUGGGAGGCCCUGACUCCCUCGCUGGCUGGGAGACAGGCCUGGUUAUCACCCCCAGUGACUCUCUCCGGCCACUAGUUGGAUCUUCGUGAUGUCUGGUGUGACCCUUGGUUCUCUGACCUCAAUGACUGUAGCUUGAGUCAGGCUCCCUCUCCUUUUCUCCUGGCCCAAGAUCUAGAAGAACUGGAUCCUCACCCUGGCUGUGUGAUCUUUGGCUCCCUGUGUGACCUUCUGGCCCUUGGAGGAGGCACAGAUGCGUGGAACAGAGCCAGCAGACACCACCUCUCUGGAAGUGAAGAUGGAACCAGGCUGGGUGCAGGAUUAAGUCAGUCAAUGCAGCUUAUAUGCAGUCUCGAGCUAUUCCUGCUUGGCUUCCAUGAGGUAACCAGGUUUUAGAGAGCAGGUGAAGACAGAGGAGAGGAGAUAACAGAGGUCCAAAAUGUCCCUCAAUGUGAAAACCUGGUCCCAAAGAACUUUCACAUGCCCUUUGCCACCUGCAAGCUACUUCACUCACCUUGAGCAUUUUACCCUUCCAGUAGCCCUGUGAGUGCGGAGGAACAGUCGCGGAGGAACAGUCCCUUAGCUCAUUCCAUCAACCUCGAGUCCAGUUUUACCCUCCCAGUAGCCCUGUGAGUGGGGAGGAAUAGUACCGUAGCUCAUUCCAUCAACCUGGAAGUCCAGGGCAGGCUGUCUCUUGUUCAGGGUCAGUGGACAGUGAAUGGGGGCUGGAACCCAGAUUUUCAGACUCCACAUCAAAUAUCUUUUAUCCUCUAAGUGCUAGAUGGUGCAAUUAGUAAGCAUCUUCUAAGUUCUAUCACCAGGAGGCUUAAAAUGCUUAUGCCGGCCGAGUGUGGUGGUUCACACUUGUAAUCCCAGCACUUUGGGAGGCCAAGGCGGGCGGAUCACUUGAAGACAGGAGUUUGAGACCAGCCUGGCCAAUACGGUGAAAACCUGUCUCUACUAAAAACACAAAAAAAUUAGCUGGGCGUGGUGGCGGGCGCCUGUAAUUCCAGCUACUCAGGUGGCUGAGGCAGGAGAGUCGCUCGAACCCAGGAGGUGGAGGUUGCAGUGAGCCGAGAUCACAUCAUUGCAAUCCAGCCUGGGCAACAAGAGCGAAACUCCGUCUCAAAAAAAAAAAAAAAAAAUGCUUAUGCCAAGUGAGCUCGCUCCCCAGCACACCGAAGCAAAGCUCUCCUUCUGCCCCGCCAGAGUCUAACCUAGGCUGACGGACUCGGCCUGGGGCUGCCACCGAGGGAACCAUGAGAAAUCAGUCAGG